GUGUCAGUGUUUAGUCUGGCGCACUGCUUCAGGAGAGAUUGGCAGCUGGGUCAAACAAAGUCAUUCCAUUGGCUCCCUUCCCAGCCAGCUUCUGCUAGUAUUUAGGUACUAGUGCAGCCUAGGCCCCUUUUCUCAGGGAUAGCCUAACAUCUGACCGCACCCUCCUUGCUGUUUAAAAAAUGCCUUUUCACUCUUUAAGAUAAAUCCACUAUUAGACAAUCUGCCACUAAUAGUGCAGUAAGGCUGUUUUUCUCCCGAAAGCCGAUGCAUCCCGCUCCCGCCGUGGUGCAGAAAGCAGGCUGUUACAGUGCCGGAUUCAUAAAAGGGGCCUUUAUGGCUGGUGAAAGAAUAUCUGUGUGCUUAGGCCGGAAACUUUUUGAUCCAGUGCAAAGCCAGACGACACCUAGAGCAAGAGAAACCAACUUUAGGAGCAUGCUCAUACCCUCAGUGAUUUCUUUUACAAUACAUUCUCCUCAUGCCUGUGAAUUUUUCUUUAACUGACCAGUGAAAGAAAAAAAUUCAAAUGAAAAAGGAAACUGAAGAUGUUAAUUAAACCAGAAUUCAGCGAAGAUACAUUUGUGACUGAAGGGGACUGAGAAAGUGUUGGAGCCCUCUGAUGGUUGACUGAAACAAUCAGGCCACAGGAACUGCCUAGCUCACUGGCUGGGUGUUGCAGGAUGAGGCACUGCCUGAGCAGAAAGGACGUGGCCCUGCUGCAGCCCUGCCCUCCCCCCUCCCGACCCCCAAUUGGUACCACUUCCACUGUAGAGUGGCCUGCCCUUGCUGCAUGCUGAUACUCCAUGUUUUUCUCAGUUCCUUUCUAAAAGCACUACAGGAAUGUAAGUCCAGAAGGAGGAGCAAGCGUGACAAAGACUUUCAUUUCCCUUGAGCAUGCCAGGCAUCAUCCCUAGGUGUAGCUGAGUCGCAUUUUAAUUUACCAUGUUACCAGGACUUUGCUGUGGAGCUGCUGCCACGGUACUGUGUGCUGAUAUCUAGAUCAUUAGACAGCAGGAGAAAAGCCAGUGUGUUCAUGGAAACAGUGCUUUCUCAGACAAGUAAUAAUCAGCCUAAUGUCAAUGUCAUGCUACAAUCAGACUCUGACAAGGUUUGCAAAUACCUUUAAAGGAACUGCUCAUCUUUGAAUGCUGCAGAUCAAAGCCUGACUGGAACAAAAAGCAAUGCCUCUAUUGUCUUUGAGGAUUAAGAGCUUGUGGAAGGCUAAGGCAGCUUCUCCAUGGACUGGCUCAGCUUGCAGUGGAAGAUCUUCCUGGAGCUUACUAGAUUCCCAACUGAAUCCCCUGAAGCACCGCUCUUGUAAUGUGACAUGAUGAGAGAGUGAGUGCAUUUAUUGUUAUCUGGAUUAUAGCUGUGCUUCACACUCCAUCAUCGUAAAAGGGGGAAAAACUUUGCAAAAGCCUCCAAACCAGACUGACAAGGGAAGAGUGCUCAUAGAAAUGAUGUGGAUGUCCAAAGUUACAUACCCACUCAAAGAGACUGUGCCAGGUGCAGAAUCCUUCUUCCUGAUCUGUUUUGAAUGUCAAAACUUAUAUUUUAAAAUUCCCCCCUUUUCUUUCUCC